UCCAAUAACCAAAGUCAGUGGGGGAAGCUGGCAGAAAGUGGCAAGUCCUGGUGGUUGGCAAGCAGGCAAGCAGGAAACAUAUCAGCCUGAGAAAGGACAUCUCCUCACAUAGAGGAUACUAUUUUAAGAAAGGAUUUCAUAAACAUGCACCAAGAACAAUUGAAUGUCGAUCCAUUCAUUUGGAUAGGAAUUGAUCAACUGACUUGUUGACCAAGCCUGACAUCAUGGACUGAGAGUGACUGGCCAAAAGUCAC